rnacentral:rRNA from 1 species
UGGGGAAUAUUGGACAAUGGGCGCAAGCCUGAUCCAGCCAUGCCGCGUGAGUGACGAAGGUCUUCGGAUUGUAAAGCUCUUUUAGCAGGGAAGAUAAUGACGGUACCUGCAGAAUAAGCCCCGGCUAACUUCGUGCCAGCAGCCGCGGUAAUACGAAGGGGGCUAGCGUUGUUCGGAAUUACUGGGCGUAAAGCGCACGUAGGCGGAUUGAUAAGUUAGAGGUGAAAUCCCGGGGCUCAACCUCGGAACUGCCUUUGAUACUGUUAGUCUCGAGUCCGAUAGAGGUGAGUGGAAUUCCUAGUGUAGAGGUGAAAUUCGUAGAUAUUAGGAAGAACACCAGUGGCGAAGGCGGCUCACUGGAUCGGUACUGACGCUGAGGUGCGAAAGCGUGGGGAGCAAACAGGAUUAGAUACCCACGUAGUCCCUGAGCGGGCUGGCAAGGCGCAU